rnacentral:misc_RNA from 1 species
GAUGAAGAACGCAGCGAAAUGCGAUAAGUAAUGUGAAUUUCAGAAUUCAGUGAAUCAUCGAAUAUUUGAACGCACAUUGCGCCCGCUAGUAUUCUGGCGGGCAUGCCUGUCCGAGCGUCAUUUCAACCCUCAAGCCCCCGGGCUUGGUGUUGGGGAUCGGCGAGCCUCCGCGCCCGCCGUCCCCUAAAUCUAGUGGCGGUCUCGCUGUAGCUUCCUCUGCGUAGUAGCACACCUCGCACUGGGAAACAGCGCGGCCACGCCGUUAAACCCCCAACUUCUGAACGUUUGACCUCGGAUCAGGUAGGAAUACCCGCUGAACUUAAGCAUAUCAAUAAGCGGAGGA